rnacentral:rRNA from 1 species
GGAGGAAAGCAGGGGAUCGCAAGACCUUGCGCUCAUUGAGCGGCCGAUGCCUGAUUAGCUAGUUGGUGAGGUAAAGGCUUACCAAGGCGACGAUCAGUAGCUGGUCUGAGAGGACGACCAGCCACACUGGGACUGAGACACGGCCCAGACUCCUACGGGAGGCAGCAGUGGGGAAUUUUGGACAAUGGGGGAAACCCUGAUCCAGCCAUGCCGCGUGAGUGAAGAAGGCCUUCGGGUUGUAAAGCUCUUUCAGCCGGAACGAAACGGUCACGGCUAAUACCUGUGACUACUGACGGUACCGGAAGAAGAAGCACCGGCUAACUACGUGCCAGCAGCCGCGGUAAUACGUAGGGUGCGAGCGUUAAUCGGAAUUACUGGGCGUAAAGCGUGCGCAGGCGGUUUUGUAAGUCAGAAGAGAAAUCCCCGGGCUUAACCUGGGAACUGCGUUGUUAAAACGAGGCUAGAAGGGC